GAGUGUGAGCAUGCCUGUC
rnacentral:siRNA from 1 species